AGAGUUUGAUCCUGGCUCAGAAUCAACGCUGGCGGCGUGCCUAACACAUGCAAGUCGAACGCGAAAGUCCGCAAGGACAAGUAGAGUGGCAAACGGGUGAGUAACGCGUGGGUGACCUGCCUUCGAGCGGGGGAUAACGUUCCGAAAGGGACGCUAAUACCGCAUGACAUUCCGCUGUCGAAGCGGCGGAAAUCAAAGCU
rnacentral:rRNA from 1 species